rnacentral:tRNA from 1 species
GUCCCUGUGGUGCAAACAGUUGAUGUGCUUGGCUACUAACCAAAAGGUUGGUGGUUCAAAUCCACCCAGAAGCA